UACGAAGGGGGCUAGCGUUGCUCGGAAUCACUGGGCGUAAAGGGUGCGUAGGCGGGUCUUUAAGUCAGGGGUGAAAUCCUGGAGCUCAACUCCAGAACUGCCUUUGAUACUGAAGAUCUUGAGUCCGGGAGAGGUGAGUGGAACUGCGAGUGUAGAGGUGAAAUUCGUAGAUAUUCGCAAGAACACCAGUGGCGAAGGCGGCUCACUGGCCCGGUACUGACGCUGCGGUGCGAAAGCGUGGGGAGCAAACAGG
rnacentral:rRNA from 1 species